AGAACAUCGAUACUACUGCGCGCUUUUGGUUGUGUUGGUUACCCCGUGGUGUGAAGCUGCCCUCCAGCUCCUCUCCAUCUCCAUCUCCCUCUCCAUCUCCCUCUACUUCUAUCACAUCUCUCUUUACUGGCCCUUCUAUCCACUCUAUCUAUUAAUGGUUCUUUUCACCUCUCUCCUAUAACAUCUACCACUCAUCCCUAAUAUUGGUUCUCUUCACCUCUCUCCUAUAACAUCUACCACUCAUCCCUAAUAUUGGUUCUCUUCACCUCUCUCCUAUAACAUCUACCACUCAUCCCUAAUAUUGGUUCUCAUCACCUCUCUCCUAGUCAUUAUUAAAUAAAUUAUUAAGAAAGGUAAUUUUUAAUUUGUUCAUUACAUUUAAGUUAAUUGAAAAGACUGGAAACAUACAUAACUCACAUUUUGUUUAGCUUUUAUCACAAACAUUGGACUGUAAAAACUAAUUCAAAGUUAAAUCUGGUACAUUAUCAAAUAUAAGUUGCUGUUAUAAAGUGUAUCAUUAAAUAAAACUAUCUAUUGUUACUAUAACAAAUUGAAGUCCAAAUCUAUAUUUAUACAAAAAAAGAGCUGUAGUUGUUCCUGGACCGUGUUGCUGUGGAGCUCUGUACCAAAAGGUUUGUUUUGACUGCAAAUAUCUUCACACAAGAGGGCACAUAAUAAUUGUUUUGUUUACUUGAGUAGUAUAAGUGUAAAACUAAUUACACUACAUACAUUGUAUUAUUUGUGUCUGAUUCACAUAUUUGUACCUUAUCUAUACAUCCACCCACAUUGUUUGCAUCAACAAGUUUUGUACAUGCUUUGUUGUU